UGGGGAAUUUUGGACAAUGGGCGAAAGCCUGAUCCAGCCAUGCCGCGUGAGUGAAGAAGGCCUUCGGGUUGUAAAGCUCUUUUAGUCGGAAAGAAAGAGUUGCAAUGAAUAAUUGUGAUUUAUGACGGUACCGACAGAAAAAGCACCGGCUAACUACGUGCCAGCAGCCGCGGUAAUACGUAGGGUGCGAGCGUUAACCGGAAUUACUGGGCGUAAAGGGUGCGCAGGCGGUCUUGCAAGUCAGAUGUGAAAGCCCCGGGCUUAACCUGGGAAUUGCGUUUGAAACUACAAGACUAGAGUGCAGCAGAGGGGAGUGGAAUUCCAUGUGUAGCAGUGAAAUGCGUAGAGAUGUGGAAGAACACCGAUGGCGAAGGCAGCUCCCUGGGUUGACACUGACGCUCAUGCACGAAAGCGUGGGGAGCAAACA
rnacentral:rRNA from 1 species